CCUACGGGAGGCAGCAGUGGGGAAUUUUGGACAAUGGGCGAAAGCCUGAUCCAGCAAUGCCGCGUGAGUGAAGAAGGCCUUCGGGUUGUAAAGCUCUUUUGUCAGGGAAGAAACGGUGUGGGCUAAUAUCCCGCACUAAUGACGGUACCUGAAGAAUAAGCACCGGCUAACUACGUGCCAGCAGCCGCGGUAAUACGUAGGGUGCAAGCGUUAAUCGGAAUUACUGGGCGUAAAGCGUGCGCAGGCGGUUUUGUAAGUUUGUCGUGAAAGCCCCGGGCUCAACCUGGGAAUUGCGAUGAAGACUGCAAGGCUUGAAUCUGGCAGAGGGGGGUAGAAUUCCACGUGUAGCAGUGAAAUGCGUAGAGAUGUGGAGGAACACCGAUGGCGAAGGCAGCCCCCUGGGUCAAGAUUGACGCUCAUGCACGAAAGCGUGGGGAGCAAACAGGAUUAGAUACCCUGGUAGUCCACGCCCUAAACGACUGUCUACUAGUUGUCGGGUUUUAAUUAACUUGGUAACGCAGCUAACGCGUGAAGUAGACCGCCGGGGAGUACGGUCGCAAGNUUAAAACUCAAAGGAUUGACGGCNGAGACGNGCGAGACGACGACGAGGGAGAG
rnacentral:rRNA from 1 species